rnacentral:rRNA from 1 species
GGGGAAUAUUGCGCAAUGGGGGAAACCCUGACGCAGCGACGCCGUGUGAGGGAAGAAGGCUUUCGGGUCGUAAACCUCUGUCGGGAAGGAAGAACCCCCCAGGUCCGAAUAGGGCCUGGGGCUGACGGUACUUCCAAAGGAAGCACCGGCUAACUCCGUGCCAGCAGCCGCGGUAAUACGGAGGGUGCAAGCGUUAAUCGGAAUCACUGGGCGUAAAGGGUGCGUAGGCGGCUUGUUAAGUUGGAUGUGAAAUACCCGGGCUCAACCUGGGGGGUGCAUUCGAUACUGGCAGGCUAGAGUGCAGGAGAGGGAAGCGGAAUUCCUAGUGUAGCGGUGAAAUGCGUAGAUAUUAGGAGGAACACCGGUGGCGAAGGCGGCUUGCUGGACAAAUACUGACGCUGAGGUGCGAAAGCGUGGGGAGCAAACA